CAACUACUAAAUCCUUCUAAAUGUUCUUCCUACAUGCUUUAUCUUUUAAAUAUUUUGGUGCUUCCUCUUAUCUGUGGUCUGGCCUUUCGUGGUCUUUCACCUUAAAGACUACCUGCCUCUUUUCCUGACUCCCUCAAAUCCAUUCUCCAUCAUACAGAGAAAAUACAAAUCUGACCUUUUAGUUUCCCUUUAAAAGAUUUCUAUUUUCACAGUUAUUUACAGGAUAAAGUAAAAAGGCAUCUGUGUGGUAUAUGAAACCCUUAACCACAGAUUCGCCUGACAAUUUCACCUCUCUAGCUCUUUACUCCCAUCUCAGAGUUUAUACCCUUCAGCAAAACCAGACAAGCCUAUCGGGUAGACACCAGGAUUAUCCUCAUUAUACAAAUCAAGAAAGGAAGACACAAAGAGGGGCAGAAGGGGCAUUACUGCCACUGUAGGACAG
ensembl:lncRNA